CCAAUAGCGUAUAUUAAAGUUGUUGCAGUUAAAAAGCUCGUAGUUGAACUUCGGGGUUCACCCAUUGGUCAGGCUUAAUUGUCUGCACUGGUGAGAUGAGUCUCUACCUUCUGAGGAACUUUCAUGUCAUUUAUUUGGUGUGAUUGGAAAUCAGGACUGUUACUUUGAAAAAAUUAGAGUGUUUAAAGCAGGCUAACGUCUGAAUACAUUAGCAUGGAAUAAUGAAAUAGGACGGACUGAUUCUAUUUCGUUGGUUUCUAGGAUCACCGUAAUGAUUAAUAGGGAUAGUUGGGGGCAUUAGUAUUCAAUUGUCAGAGGUGAAAUUCUUGGAUUUAUUGAAGACUAACUACUGCGAAAGCAUUUGCCAAGGAUGUUUUCAUUAAUCAAGAACGAAAGUUAGGGGAUCGAAGACGAUCAGAUACCGUCGUAGUCUUAACCAUAAACUAUGCCGACUAGGGAUCGGACGAAGUUAAUUUUAUAAUGACGCGUUCGGCACCUUACG
rnacentral:rRNA from 1 species